CCUGCAAAGAAAAAGCACACAAGGUUACAAAACCUCACAGGGACCUGGUAUCUGCCAAAGGCAAAAUUUCCAACAUCAAGAGAAAAUCCGUAAAGACGAUCAAAUAUAAAGCACCAAAAAGAUCUCAGCUGACAACKGGUUACCAGAUAAACUCGGUCCUGACACCGCUACCAGCACGAUCAAAAGAUCAGCCUCAGAGGGUGUAAAAGUAAAAAAUAUCUACAAAUCUGUUGCCCUCAAGGAAGCAGCAUCUGCGACACGAUCGGAGCAUCCAGUUGGUACAGAAGACGCAAAGAUCAAUGUUGAAGUCCCAUUACCAACAAUUCAACCAGGUGAUAAUUCAAAGSGACAAAAUGAACCCGUUAAUGGGGAAUUUCUACUCCCAUUAAAACYAGUAGAUGACGACUCGGGUCA